rnacentral:misc_RNA from 1 species
UCUCCGUAGGUGAACCUGCGGAGGGAUCAUUACUGAGUGAGGGUUUAACCGCCCGACCUCCAACCCUUUGUGGACCCAUCUCGUUGCUUCGGGGGCGACCCUGCCGUUCCGGCACCGGCGCCCCCGGAGGACUUCCAACCCUGCAUCAUUGCGUCGGAGUAUUAGUAAAUCUAAUCAAAACUUUCAACAACGGAUCUCUUGGUUCUGGCAUCGAUGAAGAACGCAGC